rnacentral:rRNA from 1 species
GUAGUCUCGCACAGAUGCAUAUCAAUAAGCGGAGGAAAAGAAACUGACAAGGAUUCCCUUAGUAACGGCGAGUGAAGCGGGAAGAGCUCAAAUUUGAAAUCUUCAAGGUUUUACCUUGACGAAUUGUAGUUUAAAGAAGUGUUUUCUGUUGAGGUUUUGGUAAAAGUUCUUUGGAAUAGGACAUCAUAGAGGGUGAGAAUCCCGUAUUUGACCAUUACUUUCAACUUUGUGAUACACUUUCAAAGAGUCGGAUUGUUUGGGAAUGCAGUCCAAAAUGGGUGGUAAAUUUCAUCUAAAGCUAAAUAUUGGCGAGAGACCGAUAGCGAACAAGUACCGUGAGGGAAAGAUGAAAAGAACUUUGAAAAGAGAGUUAAACAGUACGUGAAAUUGUCAAAAGGGAAGCGUUUGACACCAGUGUUGUUUUCUCGAAAAUCAAUUAAAAAGAGUUAGAUUUUGUUGUGUAUUGACCUUAACAGCUUGCAUUUCAAUUUUCUUGCUUUUUUUAAUGCACUUUUCGUUUAACAAGUCAACAUCAGUUUCUUUUGUUGUAAAAAGGUCAUUGGAAGGUGGCUUUCUUUUCGGAGAAAGUGUUUAUAGCCUUUGACUCCUGCAAUCGGAGAGACUGAGGUCUGCAGCGUAGAUCCUUCGGGGUUAGAUACAUUUGUGCUAAGUUAUAGCUUUUUAUAGACAACUUGUUGACUAUGAUUAGUCUUGUAGCUUACUCGCUUAUGCUAUUUUACCUACGCUUAGGAUGUUGAGCGCAUGUCUCUCUCU